rnacentral:lncRNA from 1 species
CUCCCUGAACGCUUACCUGGCAAAGUGAGUGUAUCUCACUCUCUUUAAGAGAGUGAAGACCAAAAACCAGUAUUAAAUUUUUAUUUUUAUUUUCUUAAAUAUAUGUAUCUUUUUUCUUCUUUUUUUUCUUGAUUUUUUUCUUCUUCAUAGCAAUUGGAUUGAGCAUCAAUGGCAGCACCAAAUUUCUUCACUAUCUUGAAACCAUCGCUAUCACUACAUUAAUGAUACACCACAAAUCAUUUAUAGCAAUUUCACUCAUUACUCUCC